rnacentral:rRNA from 1 species
GCGUUGUCCGGAAUUAUUGGGCGUAAAGAGCUCGUAGGCGGUUUGUCGCGUCGGCUGUGAAAGCCCGGAGCUCAACUCCGGGUCUGCAGUCGAUACGGGCAGACUUGAGUGUUGCAGGGGAGACUGGAAUUCCUGGUGUAGCGGUGAAAUGCGCAGAUAUCAGGAGGAACACCGGUGGCGAAGGCGGGUCUCUGGGCAACAACUGACGCUGAGGAGCGAAAGCGUG